AGUCAGGCCCCAUACAAUAACGGUCCUGUGAACCCCGCUAGGCCCGAAAGGGAGCAACGGUAACAGAGGCUUUAUGUGCUAUGGGUCACCUGACACUA
rnacentral:SRP_RNA from 1 species